UGGGGAAUUUUGGACAAUGGGGGAAACCCUGAUCCAGCCAUCCCGCGUGUGCGAUGAAGGCCUUCGGGUUGUAAAGCACUUUUGGCAGGAAAGAAACGUCAUGGGUUAAUACCCCGUGAAACUGACGGUACCUGCAGAAUAAGCACCGGCUAACUACGUGCCAGCAGCCGCGGUAAUACGUAUGGUGCAAGCGUUAAUCGGAAUUACUGGGCGUAAAGCGUGCGCAGGCGGUUCGGAAAGAAAGAUGUGAAAUCCCAGAGCUCAACUUUGGAACUGCAUUUUUAACUACCGGGCUAGAGUGUGUCAGAGGGAGGUGGAAUUCCGCGUGUAGCAGUGAAAUGCGUAGAUAUGCUGAGGAACACCGAUGGCGAAGGCAGCCUCCUGGGAUAACACUGACGCUCAUGCACGAAAGCGUGGGGAGCAAACAGG
rnacentral:rRNA from 1 species